AACGCAGGCUGCAAUUACAGCGCUCCAGACCGUGGGAGCGUUGCCAUUUUCCCUGCUGACACCAAAUCUGCUGGCCGCCAAUCUGUCUGGUCUUCCCUUCUCGUGGUGAGAUUUCAGCUGGUGACAGCAAACACGC
ensembl:snoRNA SNORA69 small nucleolar RNA, H/ACA box 69